rfam:Felis catus isolate Cinnamon breed Abyssinian chromosome B2, whole genome shotgun sequence.
GUAGAGGAGAUGGCGCAGGGGACAUGGGCUAAGAGUUGGGGGUUCCUGGAACCUUUGGACAUGUGUCCUCUUCUCCCUCCUCCAGG